GCCCAGACUCCUACGGGAGGCAGCAGUGGGGGAUAUUGCACAAUGGGGGGAACCCUGAUGCAGCGAUGCCGCGUGGGUGAAGGAGCACCUCGGUGCGUAAAGCCCUAUCGGCAGGGAAGAAACAGACGGUACCUGACUAAGAAGCCCCGGCUAACUACGUGCCAGCAGCCGCGGUAAUACGUAGGGGGCAAGCGUUAUCCGGAUUUACUGGGUGUAAAGGGGGCGCAGACGGCAGCGCAAGCCAGGAGUGAAAGCCCGGGGCCCAACCCCGGGACUGCUCUUGGAACUGCGUGGCUGGAGUGCGGGAGGGGCAGGCGGAAUUCCUGGUGUAGCGGUGAAAUGCGUAGAUAUCAGGAGGAACACCGGCGGCGAAGGCGGCCUGCUGGACCGCUACUGACGUUGAGGCUCGAAAGCGUGGGGAGCGAACAGGAUUAGAUACCCUCGUAA
rnacentral:rRNA from 1 species